UGCGAAAGCGGGAGCGGGCAGGGGACAAGUUUUUCUUAAAUUUUUUACAAGAGCCCCGACUCAAAAUCUGUCCCUAUCUACUAUCUAGCGAAACCACAGCCAAGGGAACGGGCUUGGAAAAAUCAGCGGGGAGAGAAGACCCUGUUGAGCUUGACUCUAGUCUGACUCUGUGAAGAGACAUGAGAAGUGUAGCAUAAGUGGGAGGCCGUGAACCCUCGCGGUUGUGUCGUGCCGUCAGUGAA
rnacentral:ncRNA from 1 species